UGUUUAAAUUUUCAUCCAUUUCUAUUGUUAAAAGCUGGUGUAGCUGACGAAAUAACCAAACAAUUAUACUUGGUGUGCCACAUGUGCCUCAUUUCCAUGUACAUGGACCAACUUUAAAUAAUAAAAGUGGAUGAAAUUUUUAACA
rfam:Gossypium raimondii Chr05_contig_338, whole genome shotgun sequence.